rnacentral:rRNA from 1 species
UACGUAGGGGGCAAGCGUUAUCCGGAUUUACUGGGUGUAAAGGGAGCGUAGACGGCAGUGCAAGUCUGGAGUGAAAGGCGGGGGCUCAACCCCCCGGACUGCUCUGGAAACUGUACGGCUGGAGUGCAGGAGAGGUAAGUGGAAUUCCUAGUGUAGCGGUGAAAUGCGUAGAUAUUAGGAGGAACACCAGUGGCGAAGGCGGCUUACUGGACUGUAACUGACGUUGAGGCUCGAAAGCGUGGGGAGCAAACAGG